CCUACGGGGAGCAGCAGUAGGGAAUUUUCGUCAAUGGGCGCAAGCCUGAACGAGCAAUGCCGCGUGAACGAGGAAGGUCUUCGGAUCGUAAAGUUCUGUUGAAGGGGAAAAAGAGCGGAGAGAGGAAAUGCUUUCUGAUUGAUAUUACCCUUCGAGGAAGUCACGGCUAACUACGUGCCAGCAGCCGCGGUAAUACGUAGGUGGCGAGCGUUAUCCGGAAUGAUUGGGCGUAAAGGGUGCGUAGGCGGCCUGCUAAGUCUGGAGUGAAAGGUACCGGCUCAACCGGUACAGGCUCUGGAAACUGGUGGGCUAGAGAGCAGGAGAGGGCGGUGGAACUCCAUGUGUAGCGGUAAAAUGCGUAGAUAUAUGGAAGAACACCGAUUGCGAAGGCAUCUCACGAAGCCGCGAUUGACGCUGAUGCACGAAAGCGUGGGUAUCAAACAGGAUUAGAUACCCGAGUAGUC
rnacentral:rRNA from 1 species